AUUGAACGCUGGCGGCAGGCCUAACACAUGCAAGUCGAGCGGAGCGGCGGACGGGCGAGUAAUGCCUAGGAAUCUGCCUGGUAGUGGGGGAUAACGGCCGGAAACGGGCGCUAAUAACGCAUACUAUCAGUGAAGUCUAGGUCGGAUUAGCUAGUUGGUGGGGUAAGGGCCUACAAAGGCGACGAUCCCUAACUGGUCUGAGAGGAUGAUCAGUCACACUGGAACUGAUACACGGUCCAGACUCCUACGGGAGGCAGCAGUGGGGAAUAUUGGACAAUGGGCGAAAGCCUGAUGCAGCCAUGCCGCGUGUGUGAAGAAGGUCUUCGGAUUGUAAAGCACUUUAAGUUGGGAGGCGUUACCAACAGAAUAAGCACCGGCUAACUUCGUGCCAGCCGCCGCGGUAAUAC
rnacentral:rRNA from 1 species